GACGAACGCUGGCGGCGUGCUUAACACAUGCAAGUCGAACGAUGAACCCGGAGCUUGCUCCGGUGGAUUAGUGGCGAACGGGUGAGUAACACGUGAGUAACCUGCCCUUGACUCUGGGAUAACUGCGGGAAACUGUAGCUAAUACCGGAUACGACCCUCGGCGGCAUCGCCAGGGGGUGGAAAGAAUUUCGGUCAAGGAUGGACUCGCGGCCUAUCAGCUAGUUGGUGAGGUAACGGCUCACCAAGGCGACGAAGGGUAGCCGGCCUGGGAGGGGGGCCGGCCACACUGGGGCUGAGGGACGGCCCAGACUCCUACGGGAGGGAGCAGUGGGGAAUAUUGCACGAUGGGCGCAAGCCGGAUGCAGCAACGCCGCGUGAGGGAUGUCGGCCUUCGGGUUGUAAACCUCUUUUAGUAGGGAAGAAGCGAAAGUGACGGUACCUGCAGAAAAAGCACCGGCUAACUACGUGCCAGCAGCCGCCGUAA
rnacentral:rRNA from 1 species